rnacentral:misc_RNA from 1 species
GGUUGACAAAAGUUAAUAUUCAGAUGUCUUUAACAUAUUUUACAUAAGAUAAAUUUGAGUAAGCAAAAAUUUUAGUAUUACAAAGAAAUGUAAAAGACUUAAAAUUAUUAUUUUAAGAAAGUAAAUAAGUUUUUGAUAGAUAAUUUCAUCUCAAUGGCUAGUGCAAAUGAAGAAAGUACAAUUAGAGCUUUAACAGUGCAUAGAUUCAACUCCCUACAGUUAGUGCUUUAACAGUGCAUAGAUUCAACUCC